UCUUCCUCCAAUUGGAUAUUAGAGCAGCUUGCUUUGUCAGACAUUGGAUUUUUUGGGCUUUGCUCCAAUAGAGGAAUUGGAGGUAUUGGAGUAAUUGGAGUCAUUGGUGUAGUUAGAGUUUUACCGAGCAAGUUGGGAAUUAGUUGACUGAAUUGUUUCAACAAAAUUUUCCUCUCUGCUUUGACUGCCUCCAAAACACUUUGCUUUUCCCUGGCCUCCAUCUUUUUGGUUUCC
rnacentral:lncRNA from 1 species